UCGCCCGCCGCGCGCGGCGGGCGGGGCGGGGGCACGGGGGGCCUACGGGAGGCAGCAGUGGGUAAUUUUGCGCAAUGGGCGAAAGCCUGACGCAGCAACGCCGCGUGAGUGAUGAAGGCCUUCGGGUCGUAAAGCUCUGUCAGAGGGGAAGAACCGCCUUAUGGCUAAUAUCCAUGAGGUCUGACGGUACCCUCAAAGGAAGCACCGGCUAACUCCGUGCCAGCAGCCGCGGUAAUA
rnacentral:rRNA from 1 species